UACGGAGGAGGCAAGCGUUGUCCGGAAUUAUUGGGCGUAAAGAGCUUGUAGGCGGUCUGUCGCGUCUGCUGUGAAAAUCCGGGGCUCAACCCCGGACUUGCAGUGGGUACGGGCAGACUAGAGUGUGGUAGGGGAGACUGGAAUUCCUGGUGUAGCGGUGAAAUGCGCAGAUAUCAGGAGGAACACCGAUGGCGAAGGCAGGUCUCUGGGCCACUACUGACGCUGAGAAGCGAAAGCAUGGGGAGCGAACAGG
rnacentral:rRNA from 1 species